UAUUAGGAGAUGAGAGACCCCUUGAAUUGCUUGCUAAAGCAUAUGCUAUCAAAUCUUUUGACAUAGAUCCCCAGAACCCCUCUGAUGUUGUUUUCACGUUAGAAUGGGAAUCAAUCGGUGUCCUACCUUGUGGCGAGAAGAAAGAUAAUUUUUACUACCAAGGGAUCUUAAUCAGAAUUCUAGGCUCAUUCAUACAUUCACUACAAUGCCUUCGAACUCAUGAACAUUUAUCUCUGGCUCUAUUGUGGUGGGUUACAUGAAUAGAGUUUUUGCAUGUUCUUCGUUUUAUAUGGUGACAUACUUGUUACUAUGUGACAUUGUUUGAUGAAACCCUUGCGGCAUUGUAUUAUUUAUUUUGUUCUAUAUAGUCUUAACAUUUUAUCAAAUAAAAAUUUAUGUGACGUCA